rnacentral:rRNA from 1 species
UUUGAAAGGGAUUGAAGUCAGUCGUACCGACGAGAAAUCAACUUAUCGUGUGCGAACUUGUGGGCGUGCGUGAGUUUCGGCCUCGCUGUUUGCAUGUUUGUGCGUCUUGGGUGUACUUUUUCGUAUGGUAGGCCAACGUCAGUUUCGAUUACUAUAAAAUGACCGGCGGAAUGUAGCUUCGAUCUCGGUUGAAGUGUUAUGGCCUCUGGUAGAUGUAGUGAUUGGGACUGAGGAUUGCAACGAAUAUCCUUUGGGCUAUCCGUCUGAUCUCUGAUAGUUGCUCAGGUGCCGAAAGCGUGCUUACGUCAUCUAAGUUGACGGUCAAUAGGUUAGAACGUGAUUACAUUCGUU